rnacentral:pre_miRNA from 1 species
CUUGGCACCUGGUAAGCACUCAGUAACUACUUAGUGAGUGCCUGCUGUGUGCCAAGGCA